rnacentral:rRNA from 1 species
AACGAACGCUGGCGGCAUGCCUAACACAUGCAAGUCGAACGAGACCUUCGGGUCUAGUGGCGCACGGGUGCGUAACGCGUGGGAACCUGCCCUUAGGUUCGGAAUAACUCCCCGAAAGGGGUGCUAAUACCGGAUAAUGUCUUCGGACCAAAGAUUUAUCGCCUUUGGAUGGGCCCGCGUUGGAUUAGCUAGUUGGUAGGGUAAAAGCCUACCAAGGCGACGAUCCAUAGCUGGUCGGAGAGGAUGAUCAGCCACACUGGGACUGAGACACGGCCCAGACUCCUACGGGAGGGAGCAGUGGGGAAUAUUGGACAAUGGGCGAAAGCCUGAUCCAGCAAUGCCGCGUGAGUGAUGAAGGCCUUAGGGUUGUAAAGCUCUUUUACCCGGGAUGAUAAUGACAGUACCGGGAGAAUAAGCUCCGGCUAACUACGUG